UACGUAGGGUCCGAGCGUUGUCCGGAAUUAUUGGGCGUAAAGGGCUCGUAGGCGGUCUGUUGCGUCGGGAGUGAAAAUUCACAGCUUAACUGUGAGCUUGCUUCCGAUACGGGCAGACUUGAGGUAUUCAGGGGAGAACGGAAUUCCUGGUGUAGCGGUGAAAUGCGCAGAUAUCAGGAGGAACACCGGUGGCGAAGGCGGUUCUCUGGGAAUAUCCUGACGCUGAGGAGCGAAAGUGUGGGGAGCGAACAGG
rnacentral:rRNA from 1 species